CGAUGCGCCGUCCAGUGCAGCCUGGGUGCAGACGCUGUGCUGAAACCCUUUUCCAAAAGGCAGAUGGACUCUGGCGCCUGCUAAUAACCCACUUAAGCUUUCUGCCCUGGAGAUGCUAGAGAACUCCUUGUGCAGCCCCACCUGGGAAGGAUCCCAAUUCCGUGUAACGGUGCAGAGUACCGAGGCCACCGAGCACUGUGGCCUGCAUGGCUCCUACGUGCUGAGGGUGGAGGGUGAGAGGCUGACUUUCAGAUACUGGAGGCACUCCUCUUCUGGCCCUACACUCUGUUGUGUCACUAUGGCCCGGACAAGGUCAUGUUCCCUUUUGAGGCCAGCGCCGCUGCCCCUCGGGUCCUGGAAACUUCACCUUCCAGAUGGCACAGGGAAAUGACAUCUUCCGGGCAGUUGAGACUGCCAUCCACCAGCAGAAGGCCCAGGGAAAGGCCAGACAGGGGCACGAUGUUCUCAGAGCUGACUCCCAUGAAGGGGAGGUGGCAGAGGGGAAGUUGCCUUCCCCACCUGGCCCCCAAGAGCUCUUUGACAGCCCCCCAGCCCUGUAUGCUGAGCCCUUAGACUCCCUGCGCAUUGCUCCAGGCCCUUCCCAGGACUCCUUAUACUCAGACCCCUUGGACAGCACCCCUGCUCGGACAGGAGAGGGAGUGCAAUGGAGGAAGGCUCUCUACUGGGACUUGUAUGAGCAUGCGCAGCAGCAGUUGCUGAAGGCCAAGCUGACAGACCCCAAAGAAGAUCCCAUCUAUCAUGAAUCCAAGGGCCUGGCCCCAGCCCUUCCACAGGGCCUUUAUGAUCUGCCUCAGGCGCCCAAAAUGCGUGGGGGUACCAAGUUCAGGUAAAGGAAGAGGGCUACGAGCUCCCCUACAACCCUGCCACUGACAACUAUGCUGUGCCAUCCACCCAGACCACAAAGCCCCUCCCUGCUGCCAAGUCCCAGGGCCCGCCUUCUCUGAACCUAGUACUGCAACUGACAGUAGCAGCAAAUGCCACAGCUGAGCCCUGUACAGCCAGUCCAGAAGAGCAGGGCCUCAGGGAGCUGGGACUGUGGGCUCUCUAGAGUAGGGACCGACAGGACUGGGGUCAAGUCAAAGGGUUCCACCUGAGAAGGAGAGCAAGGCUGAGGUUGCUGAGGAGGACCAUGGGGAGGUGGCACUAGGGAUCAAAGAAAAUGGUUAGAACCGGCAGAAGCCAGAGGGUGGGAGGGGCCGUGCUGUGUGAGACCAGGGGACCAGAGGGGUGGGGGACCAGAGGGAUGGAGGAGUCAAGGGAAGGACAGUCAAUCCCAGGAAGUCCUAAGAAGUGGGGCAGAUGGCAGGGCUGAGGGAUGGGCUCUGCAUCCCCCUAACGCCAUCCCUUCCCCACUUCCCCAGAGGAAGGGACAGCUGAAGGAGCAGGUCUGUGGAAAGUGGAGCAUGGUCAGAGUGGGUGCAGUUUGAAAGGCCUGCGUGGAGGCGUCAGGGAGAUGCUGGACUGUGCCUGGAUCCUUACCCCUCCAUUGUUCUUUGACAGAGAUGUAUUUUUAAAAUUUUAA